UACUGUAAUAUGUGUUAAUUUCUAGAUUUAAAUUAUGUAUAAGUUGUAAAUAAUUCUCUGGAAAGAAAUAUGAAUCCUACAAUUUAUUUGAUCAUAUCUAUUUUAUAGGUUGUAUAGUUACAUCCUAUAUAAUAAAUACGAUCGAACAAAGUAAUAAAAUAUUUGAUAUGUAUAUAAUAUUAAGAAAGAUAUAAUUUAUAGGUGAACAACAUGCAGUAUUCCUCAUGAAUGAGCCAAACCCAAAAUGACUAAAAAUGGAUCCAAGUGAAAAUGAUCCUGUGGUUAACUGGGCAUCAUGUACUGUACAGGAGUCAUAGUAGACAUUGGAACACAAGACUUCAAGAAGAUUAAAGAUUUUUACAGUUUUAUAGAUUACACUAGGUUCAUCCACAGCUUCUUGUCAAAUCCAGAACCCAAGUUUGCUAUAUUUGUACCUGUCAUUUUAGCAAGUCGUCCCAUUUGAAUAUAAUGAAAGAGUUUGUACAGAGUCAGAGACAAAUGUGGAUAGCCUAAUCCAAGUGCCAACUGUGCAAUAUUUAACUAUCCAAAAUCAAGUUCAUUGAUGCUCAACAGGUUGAUCCGGGACACAAUAAAGAUGUCGUUGCAUUCUAUGGUGCAUCAGAGAAUGAUGUUUUGGACGUUUUUGCAAGCUAAUUCAGGAUGACCGUUUAUCAAACUUCAAAUUCAAGUGCUACUAUAUCAAUGGCAAGCUGGAUCAAGAAAAGAUCAUGGAGAUGAUUGACAGACAUUACAAUGGAUAUUUUGAUUAGGAAGGCAAUUGUAUUUAUUGCAUGUGGUCCAUUCUUCAAUUUUUGAAUUUUGCUAAGAAUUCUUGGAGUGAGGCAGAGACAUUGAUGAUAUCUACAAGAGAUUCUUAGAGAUGGAUGCAUUGUUACUGAAAUUUCUGAACUGCUGAAAGAAGAUACCAUUCAAUUCCAGCAUCUAGGGAAGAUAAUGCUCAGUGAUAUGUUGAUAUUGUUUGAUCUGAUUUUGGGCAACAAUGUAAAAUACAUUGACACUAAUCUUGUUUUGUCAUUCCUAAUGGAUCAAAGUUUCCUCACCUACACUGUGAUAGAGAAACAUUGUGAUUCUCCUGGAAAGAUUUCUAGUUCUCUUGGUGAUAUUUCUGAUUCUUCUGGAAAUAUUUUUGAUUCAACUGAAAACUGCACCUGGACAACAGCAGGAAACUUUAGAAUGCCAAAUUUUGAAACUCAACAUGCAUUGUCUGAAAUGAUGCGUAAUUUAGUAAUAGAAUAUUGGAAAUUUAUCCAGACCAGAUUGUACAAUUUUCCAAUUGACAAGGUUUCAGUGUCCAUAAUGGGGAAUGAAGAGGUACUGAAGGAGAGAAUGCUGAAAAUCCAUGGAGGUUCACAGAAGCUUUUGAACAGAUUUCAAUUACCAAAUGAAGAUGAAGAAAAGCUUAAUGUGAAUGUGGCUGUCAUAAUGGGAAUUCUGUUUUCUGUCUUGGUACAAUCAAAAUUGUUUAAACUUGCACCCUCUGAUUUGCAUGUUAAGGGCAACAUAUAUCACAGGGUCAUCCAGAUCGUCUCAUGAUUUGCAAAAAGGAAAAGUUUGCAAUACUAUGGGAACUUAAAAAAGCCAAAGCAGAAACUCAGAAGAUGGCAACUUCAGUUUACGCCCUGCGGGAAGCAGGGCGUAAGGAAACCACUAACACUGGGACCACAAAAGAUUACAUGCAAGCAUUUAGAUAAACUGAAAAUAGAGAAAGCACUUAUUAUUGGUUUGAGCAUGGACAGUCAGGCCCAGGUAAUUGUAAUGCAUAUCAUACUGUAAUUACAUGUAACAUUUUUGCUGCCAUUCUUAAAAUUAUCAUAGAGAAAAUGUCAGUUUAUUUAACUUGAUACAACUAACUAGUUAACAUAACACAAUUUCCAGUUGCUAAUUAUGAUAUACAUAUGUUACAGGUAUCCCUUGCCUAUGCAGAGAAGGAGUCCAAGAAGAUUUUCCUUAUAUCAAAGAAUGAAUACAAAUUACACAAAGAAUAUUAUGACUUGCUUCCUAUUGUCCACUAACCAGCUGAGGAAGAAACACAAUGAGAUUAAGGACGUUCAGUGUCUGUUUGUUGCAAGUUCAACACAUACCAGGCAUUUUAUUGACUGAGCAAAUUCAUCUUUAACAAGAGUUAUUGGAAGUUCUCCCAUUCCGUGUCUCCGUUGAAAACUUGGAUUCAUAAUAAAAGAAAACCCACCAAUAUCCAUUUUUUAAAUUCUGAUAUAAAAUGUUCUUUUUACAUUAUUUUUGAAUAAAUUUAUUAAAAACAAAUUUG